rnacentral:rRNA from 1 species
GUCAGCCUCCACGUACACAUUGUCAGAGCACAGCCGACAUGCCCCUGCCUCGCGCGGGGGCGCACGGCGAGCCAUGGCAAGGUUGUCGAUCGGUCUCUACCGACGCGCCGGACGAGUUUCUGCCCUAUCAUCUUGUCGGUAGGAUAUGGGCCUACCGAGGACGCAACGGGUAACGGGAAAUCAGGGUUUGAUUCCGGAGAGGGAGCCUGAGAAACGGC